UUAACUUACACCUACACCGCCAGGGGAUUACGAGCAAUGCUUAAAACCCAAAGGAUUUGACGGUGUCCCACCCUACUAGAGGAGCCUGUUCUAUAAUCGAUAAUCCCCGCUUCACCUAACCAUCCCUCGCCUCCAGUCUGUAUACCUCCGUCGAAAGCUUACCAUGUGAACGCCCGCAGUAGGCUUAAUGAUCCACCAUCAGUACGUCAGGUCAAGGUGCAGCUUAAGAGAUGGCAAGCAAUGGGCUACAAUUUCUAAUUUAGAACAAACGAAAGACUAUGUGAAACCCUAGUCAUGAAGGUGGAUUUAGUAGUAAAAAGAAAGCAGAGUGUUCUUUUUAACCCGGCUCUGGGACGCGUACACACCGCCCGUCACCCUCUUCAAUAGUACUUCAUUUGUUCAUAACCCAACACCACAUUUUAGAAGAGGCAAGUCGUAACAUGGUAAGUGUACUGGAAAGUGCACUUGGUAUACUA
rnacentral:rRNA from 1 species